UUAAGCAUAUCAAUAAGCGGAGGAAAAGAAACCAACAGGGAUUGCCUCAGUAACGGCGAGUGAAGCGGCAACAGCUCAAAUUUGAAAUCUGGCCGUCCGGUCCGAGUUGUAAUUUGUAGAGGAUGUUUUGGGUACCGCCGUGGUUUAAUUUCCUUGGAACAGGAAGCCACAGAGGGUGAGAGUCCCGUCUUGGACCGCGGUAGGGCCUGUGUAAAACUCCUUCGACGAGUCGAGUUGUUUGGGAAUGCAGCUCAAAAUGGGUGGUAAAUUUCAUCUAAAGCUAAAUAUUGGCCAGAGACCGAUAGCGCACAAGUAGAGUGAUCGAAAGAUGAAAAGCACUUUGAAAAGAGAGUUAAACAGUAUGUGAAAUUGUUGAAAGGGAAGCGCAGGCAACCAGACUCGCGCGCGGGGUUCCCCCUGGCUUCUGCCUGGGUCACUUCCCCGCGUCCGGGCCAUCAUCAGUUUUGGGGACCGGUCAAAGGUCUCGGGAAUGUAUCCUCUCCUUCGGGGGAGGACUUAUAGCCCGGGGCGUCAUGCGGCCUCCUGGGACUGAGGAACGCGCUUCGGCGAGGAUGAUGGCGUAAUGGUUGUCUGCGACCCGUCUUGAAACACGGACCAAGGAGUCUAACAUCUAUGCGAGUGUUCGGGUGACAAACCCUUGCGCGGAAUGAAAGUGAACGGAGGUAGGAAGGCCGCACGGCCUGCACUAUCGACCGAUCCUGAUGUCUUCGGAUGGAUUUGAGUAAGAGCAUAGCUGUUGGGACCCGAAAGAUGGUGAACUAUGCGUGAAUAGGGUGAAGCCAGAGGAAACUCUGGUGGAGGCUCGCAGCGGUUCUGACGUGCAAAUCGAUCGUCAAAUUUGCGUAUAGGGGCGAAAGACUAAUCGAACUGUCUGGUAGCUGGUUCCUGCCAA
rnacentral:rRNA from 1 species